UACGUAGGGGGCAAGCGUUGUCCGGAUUUAUUGGGCGUAAAGAGCGUGUAGGCGGCCAAGCAGGUCAGCUGUGAAAACUCGAGGCUCAACCUCGAGACGUCGGUUGAAACCGCUUGGCUAGAGUCCGGAAGAGGAGAGUGGAAUUCCCGGUGUAGCGGUGAAAUGCGCAGAUAUCGGGAAGAACACCCGUGGCGAAGGCGGCUCUCUGGGACGGUACUGACGCUGAGACGCGAAAGCGGUGGGG
rnacentral:rRNA from 1 species